rnacentral:tRNA from 1 species
GGGGCUAUAGCUCAGCUGGCUAGAGCGCUUCGCUGGCAGCGAAGAGGUCUGGGGUUCGAAUCCCCAUAGCUCCACCA